rnacentral:tRNA from 1 species
UGGAUCACCUCCUAACAGGGAGACAACAAAAUGUUUAAUAUUAUUAUUUUGUCACCUUAGGUCGAUCGGUAUCUCACGUUCUUAAUUUGUUAAGAAUUUCAUUUCCUAAGUUUUUCUAGGUCACACCCAUUAUUUUUCCUGGGCCAUUAGCUCAGGUGGUUAGAGCGCACCCCUGAUAAGGGUGAGGUCCCUGGUUCAAGUCCAGGAUGGCCCAUAUCUCUAUGUUGGGGGUAUAGCUCAGUUGGUAGAGCGCCUGCUUUGCAAGCAGGAUGUCAGCGGUUCGAGUCCGCUUACCUCCACUGAUUACCACCUCUUCCAUAACAGGUAGAAAGGAAAUGUUUUGAGUUAUGAUCAUUAUUCUGAACGAAUCUAGCUUCCUAAUGAAAUCAUUAAGAUGCUGGACUCAUUGAAUUAAUUUCAUUGUUUUCAGAGAACCUUGACAACUGCAUAGAUUAUUUUUAAAGACAAUAAGCAUCUUUAAUGAUGCAGAUUUAUUAUUUGUGCGAAUGCAUUAAUAACAAUUCUAUUAAGCUGAUGCUUCAAUUUUUGAAGUUAUUGGUCAAGCUACAAAGGGCUCACGGAGGAUACCUAGGCACACAGAGGCGAUGAAGG